GGUUCAAGUAAAUUUUCUACUUGUCGGGAUUUUCACUCGACCACAUCGGGGAAGGAAGAAGGACCACUUCCUCACUCCCACUGAAGAGACCCUGCAGUUAUUCUUUUCCUCUGCUGCUACUCAUCACCCUUGCUCUGCCAGCAACAGAAUCACGCAGUGCCAGCUGCAGUUACUAGAGGACAGUAACUUGAAAGCAACAUAAACCUUCAACCACCAGCAAACAUUAAAAGCCUUGUUGGUGUAACUCAGCAUGGCUAUAGGCUGUAAAACAACAGUCUUGUGUGAUUGAUCCAGCACAUACCACACAGUCCUUUUGAGCAUCCUGUAAAAGAAAAGCAGACAAGAGUGACACAAUUUGACAGAGACCGCUGGAUAACUGCCUCCCUGAAUAAUUGCCAGAUGGACAAGGAACUGGCAGGAGCACUCUCCACAGACUACCCUGCUUGCUUUCUCCAGAGCCAGUGCAUAUCUGAAUAAUCAUUUCUGGGUGCAGUUAUGGCAUGCAGCCUGACACCUUCUCUCCCUCCUUUUCAUUUCUAUUCAUCCCACCCUGGCCCUCCAGUCAUGAUGUCUUUAUGCUUCCAUUCAUGAUGGCUAGCAGUGAUGGCAGUGCUGCUCCUCUUCCUAAAUCCAGUAGGUAGACUUGCCAAGGACCUCACAGCUGUCGGAGGGAAUAAAACUCAGCAGCAAUAUCCGUGCCUAGCUCAUCAUGUGACCCCUUUAUGCCAAGUCUGCCAAUUUUCUGGCAUCAUGGUAGAAGUGAAUCAAACAGCUAUUAGCUGUUACAAUGGCAGGGAAUCCACAGAUCUUAAAAAUAUUUCUGGGAUCCUCUAUGUCCAAACAGUCAGAUUUUUAUCAUCUCCACCACUUUAGAAAAAGUUGCAUGGUAUUUUCCUUAGGCUUUUAAAUCUCUGUUAUUCCCUCCAGCAGUGUAGUUGGCACAACACGAUUUUAUUACUUGUGUGCCAGUCACAGUCCCUGAGAACAGUAUUUCCAAAGCCAUUUAAUCAUAGUGUCCAAAGCUAUCGUCUAAACCAAACAUCUUUAAAAAUCAUAUGAUCUGGACGUCAGUACUAGGCGUUUGCCUAUCCAGUGACAAAGUGUUUUGAACACGAUUUUUUUUUUCAACAUUUUCUGUGCAUAUGUAAGUAAGAGUCCAGGAGUCAUAAAAAAGUUUCCCAUGUGGUUUCUGGAAAGAGAAAAUUACACUGGAGAGUUCUGAGGAAAGUAACAUUUCAGUUCUAGUAUUUGAUUGGUAUUAAAAUCAAUCAUCUUAUCUUUGUAAGUUAUGAAAAUCUGGCUCCAAAAGAAAUACAAAGAAAUGAAAUAUAUUUUUGCAAAACAAAUUUCUGACCUUUCUUGAGUUCUACUUUACUGAUAUUUUUUUAAAUAUUCUAUCCCAUAAUAUAAGCGUAGCUGUUGAAUCUGAUUGCUGUUCCUGAGGUUUGUCAUUUAUAGAGCUCUAGCUGUUCUACAUCAUAGCUUCCUUUGCUACACCGAAUUAAUUUGUAAUUUUUAUGACGUCUGGAUACUAAUCUUAUCAAUAAAUCAUGAAUAGAAAAAUCCUUU